GACGAACGCUGGCGGCGUGCCUAAUACAUGCAAGUUGAGCGAUGAAGAUUGGUGCUUGCACCAAUUUGAAGAGCAGCGAACGGGUGAGUAACGCGUGGGGAAUCUGCCUUUGAGCGGGGGACAACAUUUGGAAACGAAUGCUAAUACCGCAUAACAACUUUAAACAUAAGUUUUAAGUUUGAAAGAUGCAAUUGCAUCACUCAAAGAUGAUCCCGCGUUGUAUUAGCUAGUUGGUGAGGUAAAGGCUCACCAAGGCGAUGAUACAUAGCCGACCUGAGAGGGUGAUCGGCCACAUUGGGACUGAGACACGGCCCAAACUCCUACGGGAGGCAGCAGUAGGGAAUCUUCGGCAAUGGACGAAAGUCUGACCGAGCAGCGCCGCGUGAGUGAAGAAGGUUGUCGGAUCGUAAAACUCUGUUGGUAGAGAAGAACGUUGGUGAGAGUGGAAAGCUCAUCAAGUGACGGUAACUACCCAGAAAGGGACGGCUAACUACGUG
rnacentral:rRNA from 1 species